UACGUAGGGCGCAAGCGUUGUCCGGAAUUAUUGGGCGUAAAGAGCUCGUAGGCGGUCUGUCGCGUCGGCUGUGAAAUCCCGAGGCUCAACCUCGGGUCUGCAGUCGAUACGGGCAAACUAGAGUAUUGCAGGGGAGACUGGAAUUCCUGGUGUAGCGGUGAAAUGCGCAGAUAUCAGGAGGAACACCGGUGGCGAAGGCGGGUCUCUGGGCAAUAACUGACGCUGAGGAGCGAAAGCGUGGGGAGCAAACAGG
rnacentral:rRNA from 1 species